ensembl:lncRNA
GGGCACCACGGGUCAGACGCCCGGGCGGGACCCCGGGCUCCGGCCCGCUCAAGCCCUCGGGCCCACCCGCCGCCCAACGCAGCCCCAGGCCGCUCCCGCCCCGCUCCCCAGCACCCAUGCUGAGCCCCCCACAGCCCGGUUCGGCCCGGGAAGCACCAACCCGCCUCCUCUGCCCUCCAGCUGCUGUCGCGCCGCCGUCACCGUCACUUACGUCCUGCCGCAAAAGGCCUCCGGCCCCGCCCCUCAGCUCGGCCUUCUCCUCAAGCCGCUGGCCCGCCCCGCCCUCCGACCGUAAAGCAGGCCGCUGGCUGCCGUGCGGGGCGUACUGGGGGGCGUGUCCCGGCAGGCCCCGCCCUCGGCCGGGCGGAAGGAAGUCCGGGCGGAAGCUGGCCUGUAGGGUGGCAUUCCUGUCGGUGUCGGUGGAGGCCAGGGCGUUCCUGCUAGUUGCUCCUAAGGGCUUGUUUUCGUUCUGGGUCGCCUACGUGUGGGUCGCAUCUCGCGACUCGAGUACAAAACAAAAACGCAGCGAACAAAACCCAAAGAGCUCCGCCCCCAAAAUAAUAAUAAUAACCCAGACAGAAUCCCAACUGCUCGCCCAUAUCUGGAAAUAGAAAGCGGACCGCCGGGCACCCACUGGCCCCUCGGGGAACUCCUGGAGACUUGGACCGUGGUCCGGUGUCCGGCCUUGGCCUCCGCCUCCGCCCCCGGUGUCCUGGCUGCUGCCAGUGACGACGGUCCCAGCCCGCCCUGCCCGGGCCUGUGCCUCCUGACCAACAUCCUGCCUUGUGCAUAUUGAAAUUUUUAUCAUUUCUAAUUUUUUUUUUUUAACUUGAGAGCCAUCCGCUGGUUUACUGCUCAAAUGGGGCCAAAGCCAGUAGCUGGGAACUGUAUCAGCCUCCCACGUGGGUGGCAGGGCCCCCAGCACUUGAGUCAUCACCUGCUGCCUGUAGUUAGUUGGAAGUCAAGACGGGGAUUGAACCCAGAGGCUUGGAGCAGGCAGAACGUUUGGAGAUUGCCGACUCUCUGUUCAUCAGCGUGGUGCAGAAUCACGGAGCUGGGACCAGGGCUGGCAUCGUGGGCACCUGACCUGUACACUCACAGAGGCUCUUGGAAGGCCCCUCUGCGUGGCUCACUGUUCUGCUAUUGUCAUUUUGGAAUUCCCAAUAAUUUCCAAACGCAGAGGUCUGCAUUUUUUCAAUUUUGCAACCGGGCCUCACAAGACUUCCUCCUGAGCCUGGCUCCUGGGGCAGUGAAGUCACCAACCUCUUGUCAUCCGCUGCUGGAGGCGCAUUCACAGCGAGGGGAGCUGGCCGCUCAGGGCCAGACAAGAAUCCAGAUGAAGAAUGAUGGAGUGAAGGUCCCCCCCCCCCACCAGGAACGGCACAGGGAUGCUGGCGUGGCGGAGGGUGCUGGGUUUCUUUUUUUUUUUUUUUUUGAGCAGGGGGCAGUGGAGGCUGUAGACACAGAACCCUGUAUAGAGUGUGUAGAAGCUCCUCACCUUUCCAAACCAUGGGCUCAGAAAUGCUGUUGGGGGCCCAGCACUGUGGCGUAG